AACGAACGCUGGCGGCGUGGAUAAGACAUGCAAGUCGAGCGAGAUUUUUUCCUGUAGCAAUACAGGGAAAAGUCGAGCGGCGAACGGGUGCUUAACACGUGGGCAACCUGCCAAGAAGUGGGGGAUAGCUCGCCGAAAGGCGAAUUAAUACCGCAUGUGAUCAGAGUGGACAUCCAUUCAAAACCAAAGUCGGGGCAACCUGACGCUUCUUGAGGGGCCCGCGGCCUAUCAGCUAGUUGGUGAGGUAACGGCCCACCAAGGCUUAGACGGGUAGCUGGUCUGAGAGGACGACCAGCCACACUGGGACUGAGACACGGCCCAGACACCUACGGGUGGCAGCAGUCGAGAAUUUUUCUCAAUGGGGGAAACCCUGAAGGAGCGACGCCGCGUGGAGGAUGAAGGUCUUCGGAUUGUAAACUCCUGUCAUUGGGGAACAAUGCGCAAAUAUUAACCGUAUUUGCGUUGAUAGUACCCGAAGAGGAAGAGACGGCUAACUCUGUGCCAGCAGCCGCGGUAACAC
rnacentral:rRNA from 1 species